GGGGUUGUGGCUCAGUGAUAGAGCACAUGCCUAGCAUGUGUGAGGUACUGGGUUCUAUUCUCAGCACUGCA
rnacentral:tRNA from 1 species